AGUGAACGCUGGCGGUAGGCCUAACACAUGCAAGUCGAACGGCAGCACAGUAAGAGCUUGCUCUUACGGGUGGCGAGUGGCGGACGGGUGAGGAAUACAUCGGAAUCUACUUUUUCGUGGGGGAUAACGUAGGGAAACUUACGCUAAUACCGCAUACGACCUACGGGUGAAAGCAGGGGAUCUUCGGACCUUGCGCGAUUGAAUGAGCCGAUGUCGGAUUAGCUAGUUGGCGGGGUAAAGGCCCACCAAGGCGACGAUCCGUAGCUGGUCUGAGAGGAUGAUCAGCCAAACUGGAAAUGAGACACGGUCCAGACUCCUACGGGAGGCAGCAGUGGGGAAUAUUGGACAAUGGGCGCAAGCCUGAUCCAGCCAUACCGCGUGAGUGAAGAAGGCCUUCGGGUUGUAAAGCCCUUUUGUUGGGAAAGAAAAGCAGCAGGUUAAUACCCCGCUGUUCUGACGGUACAAAAAGAAUAAGCACCGGCUAACUUCGUG
rnacentral:rRNA from 1 species